rnacentral:lncRNA from 1 species
GCGGCAGUGAAAAUAUGUUUCCACUGAUGGUUUUUGAGUCGGGACUACCGAUUUUUUUUUCAUAGACAUUUUUUUAAUUGAAACCGUCUGUAAAAAUUAUGCUCCACUGUCAGCAAAGAGCUUUUACCACCGUGACAAACAAGAGGCCUAGGUCUAGGCCAAGCUUAACGCCCGUCCCUAUAAGCCUCUUUUUAGAACACAGGAAAUUAUCCCUGUUCCUUAGUUUUUUUUUUAAGUUAAACUAUUUUCUAUGAAAUUUUUGUUUUUAACACCUUAGCCUUCUAGCUAGGCCGCUAUAUUUAGAGUGAAAUUCAUCAGAGGUAUCUAAAGUGGUCUCAGAUAUCAUCUAGAUCCUUAAAGUUUCAAAAUUCAUUUAUUAUUUUUAUUAUUAUUUUGACCAUCUUAAUGAUCUCAAAUAGAUUUCAUCAAGAGCUAUAAUUUUUAUAUAAAAAUUAUCUUAAUUUGAAACUGUAUGAAAAAAAAAUGAUUUUUCUAAUGUUGAACCUUGCUGCUGACAUGUAAGUCCCAUCUAUCAUGUCCACAUAAGUGAUGAAUCCACAUGCCACGUCAGUCAUUAGGUCGAGUAAACACCCGUUUGAACCUGGACGAGAUCUGAACCAAUUUUAAAGACUUAAAAUGCAUUUUGAGAUUGGAUACCUAUAUAACACCUCUAGAUAACUUUAGAAACCUCUGAUGAAUUUCACUCUUUUUUUUGCUACAACAUCUAGCUUGCUCUUGUCUUCUAUCACGGGGGAUGAAGAAUACGAGAGGUCCUUGAUACCAGGAGCGCCUUCGUGAUGAGGGGGCAAAAAAAAAUCAAAUGGUUGGGUCGCUUUAGAAGUCCUAAAAUUCAAUUUAUGCCUUG